rnacentral:tRNA from 1 species
GCCGCUAUUGCUCAGUGGUAGAGCGUGAGUCCUUGAAAACUGAAGGUCUGUAGAUCGAUCCACCAUGGGUCG